GCCGGAGUGGCGGAACUGGCAGACGCACAUGACUCAAAAUCAUGCGCUCUUACGAGCAUGCGGGUUCGAUUCCCGCCUCCGGCACCA
rnacentral:tRNA from 1 species